rnacentral:misc_RNA from 1 species
UCUCCGUAGGUGAACCUGCGGAGGGAUCAUUACCGAGUGAGCGCUCCGGCGCGACCUCCAACCCCAUGUUUUCCGACUCUGUUGCCUCGGGGGCGACCCUGCCGUUCGCGGCGUGGGGCCCCCGGAGCCCAUCAAACCCUGCGUAACUAAGUCGUCGGAGUUUAAACAAAUUAAACAAAACUUUCAACAACGGAUCUCUUGGUUCGGGCAUCGAUGAAGAACGCAGC